AGAACGAACGCUGGCGGCAGGCUUAACACAUGCAAGUCGAGCGCCCCGCAAGGGGAGCGGCAGACGGGUGAGUAACGCGUGGGAACAUACCCUCCGGUUCGGAAUAGCUCAGGGAAACUUGGAUUAAUACCGGAUACGGCCUAGCGGCGAAAGAUUCAUCGCCGGAGGAUUGGCCCGCGUUCGAUUAGCUAGUUGGUGAGGUAACGGCUCACCAAGGCGACGAUCGAUAGCUGGUCUGAGAGGAUGAUCAGCCACAUUGGGACUGAGACACGGCCCAAACUCCUACGGGAGGCAGCAGUGGGGAAUAUUGGACAAUGGGCGCAAGCCUGAUCCAGCCAUGCCGCGUGAGUGAUGACGGCCUUAGGGUUGUAAAGCUCUUUCAGCCCUGACGAGCGAAAGUGACGGUAGGGCAGAAGAAGCACCGGCAACUACGCGCCAGCAGCCGC
rnacentral:rRNA from 1 species